rnacentral:rRNA from 1 species
UACGUAGGAGACGAGCGUUGUCCGGAGUUACUGGGCGUAAAGGGUGCGCAGGUGGCGGCGCGCGUGGGGGGUGAAAUCGCCCGGCUUAACUGGGCGGGGGCCUUCCAGACGGCGUGGCUUGAGCAGCGGAGGGGGACGUGGAAUUCCGGGUGGCGCGGUGAAAUGCGUAGAGAUCCGGAGGAACACCGACGGCGCAGGCAGCGUCCUGGCCGCUUGCUGACACUGAGGCACGAAAGCGUGGGGAGCGAACGGG